rnacentral:rRNA from 1 species
GACGAACCGUGCGAACGUUGUUCGGAAUUACUGGGCGUAAAGCGUGCGCAGGCGGCUUCUCAAGUCAGGGGUGAAAGCCCAGAGCUUAACUCUGGAAUUGCCUUUGAGACUGAGAGGCUUGAGUACGGGAGAGGUGAGUGGAAUUCCCAGUGUAGAGGUGAAAUUCGUAGAUAUUGGGAAGAACACCGGUGGCGAAGGCGGCUCACUGGCCCGUAACUGACGCUCAUGCACGACAGCGUGGGGAUCAAACAGG